rnacentral:rRNA from 1 species
GAUGAACGCUGGCGGCGUGCCUAAUACAUGCAAGUCGAGCGAACAGAUGAGGAGCUUGCUCCUCUGACGUUAGCGGCGGACGGGUGAGUAACACGUGGAUAACCUACCUAUAAGACUGGGAUAACUUCGGGAAACCGGAGCUAAUACCGGAUAAUAUAUUGAACCGCAUGGUUCAAUAGUGAAAGACGGUUUUGCUGUCACUUAUAGAUGGAUCCGCGCCGCAUUAGCUAGUUGGUAAGGUAACGGCUUACCAAGGCAACGAUGAGUAGCCGACCUGAGAGGGUGAUCGGCCACACUGGAACUGAGACACGGUCCCGACUCCUACGGGAGGAAGCAGUAGGGAAUCUUCCGGCAUGGGCGAAAGCUUGACGGAGCAACGCCGCGUGAGUGAUGAAGGUCUUCGGAUCGUAAAACUCUGUUAUUAGGGAAGAACAAAUGUGUAAGUAACUAUGCACGUCUUGACGGUACCUAAUCAGAAAGCCACGGCUAACUACGUG